CCCAGCUCAAAUGAUACAGGAUAAACUGGGAUGGGCUAGGAUGGACAGGCUAGGGAAUCCAGCCCAACCAGAUGAAGUACAUUCUUCUUUUUGGUCUGAAAAGAAAAAUUGUCAAGCGUAAAGAAAAAUACUUCUUUUUUUUGAGAUGGAAUCUCACUCUGUCACCCAGGCUGGAGUGCAGUGGCAUGAUCUCGGCUCACUGCAACCUCUGCCUCCUAGGUUCAAGCAAUUCUCGUACCUCAGCCUCUGAGUAGCUGGGAUUACAGGCGCAUGCCAUCACACCUGGCUAAAUUUUGUAUUUUUAGAAGACACGGGGUUUCGCCAUGUUGGCCAGGCUGGUCUCGAACUCCUGACCUCAAGUGAUCCACCUGCCUCGGCCUCCCAGAGUGUUGGAAUUACAGGCGUGAGCCACCACGUCCAGCCAAAAAAUACACUUCGGAUGGAGACUUUAGGAGGAGGCAGAGGACAAACUUCCAGCCAUCUUGGAAGGAGCUCACUUCCAUCAGGCAAGGUGAGGAGCUAGGGAAGGGGUCAUCACAAAGGGAUCCACCAUGACAGUGGCUUGAGUCUAGGCACCUCUUCCACCUCUUCCAGGUGCUCCAUCCAAGGCAAUGGGGGGUGAGGGAAAUGCCUAAGGCGUAAACUCAGAUCCCAAGAACGGGAGAGAUUAGGCAGAGAGCCCAGGGGACUUGCUUCAGGAAGGCAGGGUGCAGGAUGCACUUGGGCUAAGGACCAGCCUGGAAGACUUUGGUCGCUUCCACAGCUCCCAUGGCCUCUUCCCCAAUCCUGUCUUCAACCUGCAAGAUGUUUAUCAUCCCUCAGACUUUACCCCUACACUGGAGAACAUGCCAAGAAUUCCACCUGCCUAUCUGGUCCUCUCUUCUCUCGGUCCCUCCAUUUGUGUUUCAGAAGUCAGCACAGGGGAGGAAGGGGACAUAUGCUUUGGGGUCUACGAAGACCCACUUGAAGCCCAGCCCAAUUUACCAGUCCUGUGACUCUGGGAAAGUGUCUUAGCCUUCCUGAGGCUUUGAUUCCUCCUUCAUAAAGUGGGGACAAUAUCACCCGGUUUUCAGGGCUGUUGGGAAGAUUAGCUGAGAUAAUGGCUAUGAAAGGGCUUACACAACCAAAUGGGCACAAAUCAGGGUCAGCUCCUUCCUUCCUGGGCUGGGGAAGCUAUGUCCAGGAAAGGCAAAUAAACCCAGUAGGGGCUGCACAGGAAUCAGGUGUCAGGCACAGCUGUGGGCACAGCCUUCCUUUCCUGUCCCAUCCAGGGUUGGGAGCCAGCCGCUUUGGAAACCCCCAAAGUUCACCUCCCUUGACUUCUCCAAGAGCCUUAAGAUCUGAGAAGAGUUUCAGAAAGAGGAGGGGAUCUCGGCCACGGCCCUGCAUGGCCCAGCUCCACUCAGACGAGUGUGGCCUUUCUUCUUCCUAGACUCUUCGCAGCCUCUCCCAGCUCACAUCCCUCCUCCCUUCCCCAGCUCCUCCUCCCCCUACCUUUGCCAGCUCUCCAACCUGGAUCUUGACAGUAUGGAGGAGUGGGGAUGAGAAGUCUGCCUUGCCCAUCAUAUCAGGAGCCCCUCAAAUGUAACGACCCUGUCUUCUCCAAACCUGAUCUCUGCCAGGCCUGUUUCCCUGACCCCCUCUGGCCCUCUUCCUGACCCGGGCUGGCUGCCAGGACUCAAGGUGGGCUGUCUGUUCCUCAGUGCCCCUCUAAGUCUGCCAGUGUGUCUCCUUCCAUGCUCUCUUGCCCAUUCCUUGCUCUAGAUCCUCAGCCCAACUGGGAGUCCUGCUAUCCCUUGAGUGGCUAGAUUUGGGGGAACGACAGAAGAGACUGGUGUCUGUCAGGGCCUGGGAAGGGGUGGUGGAUGCAGCUCCAUGCGGUGCCCUCCCCUGGGUGGGGGAGGAGGAGUGCAGAUGGAACAGCCUCCCGCUUGUUACACCCUCCCAGCCCCAGACAGAGCCAGGCUCUCCUAGCAACGGUACAGUAGCAGAGGGCUGGGAAGUAAGUGCGGCGGGGGAGCAAUGAUAUCAUAAAUUAUCCCUGGCCCCUCCCUCCCAGCCCACCCUUCCUCAGUUGAGAAUGGCCUCCUUUUUCUCUCCACCUGCUCCUCAUUCAGGAUUUCCUCAGCAAAUCUGGCCUCUGCUUAGUGCCCCUUAUAGAUGCCCCUCGAGGUCAAAGUGACCAUUCUCUGCCUUCCAGUUGGGCUCCAGAAGGAGGGGACCCUCAUUAUCCCAGGAUGUCUCUGAGACCCUGUUGGAACGUUCCCCCCAGGGCAGGAGCUGGGAGACUGGCUUCCAAAGGGGGAGCCCAGAGGGCCUGAGAGACUAUUGCUAUUCCAUGGUCUCCGGCUCCUCUUUCUGGGGUGCUGAUGGGGCACAGAAGGGGAAUUUCAAAGCAUUCUGUGGCAUUUACUCCUCUUCUGUAAACAAAAGGUUUGGGUGGGGGCUCCCAAGUCUUUAAGGGGCACUCAGACCUCUCACCAAGCUAGACAAGUCUCAGUUUUCCUAUUCUAAUAGCUGGAGUCCAGGAACCUUUAUGAAGUAACUAAAGCUAGGUGGCAUUCCUUCCUUACCUCCCAACUUAGCCAUGCCAAGCCAAGAGCCAAAGAGCUGGUGCUAUAGCCAUAUAGAUCUUGGUUAGACAUGGAGAAGGACUUCCCAAGACAGGAAUAAGCAAGAUCAUGGAAUUUCCUGGUUGGAGAGAGGAAAAGUCUGUCGUAGUAGCAGGAAACUGGAUGGGAACCUCUUGAAUUCUAUCUCAUUAAUUCUUUCUUAGCCACAUUAAAUAACAUGUAGAGAGUGUCUGGCACAGAGCCUGACACAUAGUAAUCCUCCACUUAGGCUAUUAAAAAAUCAUAUGUUAUUAUGAAUUUUUAUUGGAUAGAUAUCAGGGGAAAGGGAUAAAUCCCUGGAGACCCAUCUCCCACCCUCUAGGAACCCCGCGGGAAAAUCCAGAUAGGAGCUAGUGCUCUGAGGUACAAUAUGGCAGCCAAUUGCCAUGGCAACAGCAGAAGGAGGAGUCUGGUUGGUUGUGGGGGCGGUGCUGGGAAGCCAGCUGGUGCCAGAUGGACAAACCCAGCAGAAGGCAUCCCCAGCCGGGUGAAGCUGAUGCCCCGUGCCCAGGGCUCAACCUCCAUAUGCCAGCCGCAGCCUGGUCCUUCCUUCCAGGCCUAAAGGCCCCAUUGCUGUCUGUGGGGGAUGAUGCCAAAACCAUUCCUCCUCCUGACUCUUGCUUGUAUAACAGGGAAUGACUGCUUGGAGACAA
rnacentral:lncRNA from 10 species